rnacentral:rRNA from 1 species
AGCGAACGUUAGCGGCGGGCUUAACACAUGCAAGUCGAGCGAGAAAGGGGCUUCGGCCCUGAGUACAGCGGCGGACGGGUGAAUAACACGUAGGUAACCUUCCUUCCAGCGGGGGACAACGGUCCGAAAGGACCGCUAAUACCGCAUACGUUCCCUGGGACCCUGGUCCCGGGGAGGAAAGCUCCGCAAGGGGCACUGGAUGAGGGGCCUGCGUAGCAUCAGCUAGUUGGUGGGGUAAUGGCCUACCAAGGCUAAGACGCUUAGCUGGUCUGAGAGGAUGAUCAGCCACACUGGGACUGAGACACGGCCCAGACUCCUACGGGAGGCAGCAGUGGGGAAUAUUGGACAAUGGGCGCAAGCCUGAUCCAGCCACGCCGCGUGAGUGAUGAAGGCCCUCGGGUCGUAAAGCUCUGUGGAGAGGGACGAAAACCCUGGUUUCAAAUAGGCUCCAGGCUUGACGGUACCUCUUUAGCAAGCACCGGCUAACUCUGUGCCAGCAGCCGCGG